CAUAGACAUCUCUUGGGCAGCAGCUCUUCCUGGGCGGUGUGUUAGACCCAGGAGCACAGCCAGGAACCACAGGAGACCAGUUCCCUCAGCUGUUGCCGUGUUUAUAAGUGGUGUCCCUGGCUCUGUCUGCUGCUAAUGGUGAGGAAACUGAGACACUGAAAUGUGGGAUCCAAGAGCUACACAGCAGAACCACAGCUGAGGCAGAGCUGGUAAGUGAUGAUCAGAUACCUUCUCUCUGCGCCUCCCUACCUUGACCCCUUCCUGGACCUCCUGGGUUGGUUCACACUUCUCCUUCUUCUGAUCUUACCAUGGCAGAAGUUACUCCUCUCUUAAGGCAGAGCUUGAGUUACGUGCAGCACUGAGGUGAAGGCCUCAUCAAUUGAUUCGUUCAUCAAUAUCAAAGCAGGGACCAAAGUCAAGUGCCGUGAAUUCUUUCUCAUCUAAGUUCUGAGGCAGCAUCUUUAUUGCCCGUGUCAAAAGAAGUGACUAGCAUCACAUUCCACGGCCGUUGUUUGUUGACCUGUUGAUCUCCCCUCUCCCCAUCCCAUCCCUG